rnacentral:rRNA from 1 species
GACGAGGGGUGCGAACGUUAUUCGGAAUGAUUGGGCGUAAAGGGUGCGUAGGCGGUUUGUUAAGUCAACUGUUAAAUUUCUCAGCUUAACUGGGAGUAUGCGGUAGAAACUGGCAAACUAGAGGAUGGAAGAGAGAAGUAGAAUUCUCGGAGUAGCGGUAAAAUGCGUAGAUCUCGAGAGGAACACCGAUGGCGAAGGCAGCUUCUUAGCCCAUUUCUGACGCUGAGGCACGAAAGCGUGGGGAGCAAACAGG